rnacentral:rRNA from 1 species
AGAGUUUGAUCCUGGCUCAGGAUGAACGCUGGCGGCGUGCUUAACACAUGCAAGUCGAACGAAGCAUUUAAGACAGAUUUUUUCGGAAUGAAGUUUUUUAUGACUGAGUGGCGGACGGGUGAGUAACGCGUGGGUAACCUGCCUCACACAGGGGGAUAGCAGUUGGAAACGACUGGUAAUACCGCAUAAGCGCACAGCUUCGCAUGAAGCGGUGUGAAAAACUCCGGUGGUGUGAGAUGGACCCGCGUCUGAUUAGGUAGUUGGUGAGGUAACGGCCCACCAAGCCGACGAUCAGUAGCCGACCUGAGAGGGUGACCGGCCACAUUGGGACUGAGACACGGCCCAGACUCCUACGGGAGGCAGCAGUGGGGAAUAUUGCACAAUGGAGGAAACUCUGAUGCAGCGACGCCGCGUGAGUGAAGAAGUAUUUCGGUAUGUAAAGCUCUAUCAGCAGGGAAGACAGUGACGGUACCUGACUAAGAAGCUCCGGCUAAAUACGUGCCAGCAGCCGCGGUAAUACGUAUGGAGCAAGCGUUAUCCGGAUUUACUGGGUGUAAAGGGAGUGUAGGUGGUAUCACAAGUCAGAAGUGAAAGCCCGGGGCUCAACCCCGGGACUGCUUUUGAAACUGUGGAACUGGAGUGCAGGAGAGGUAAGUGGAAUUCCUAGUGUAGCGGUGAAAUGCGCAGAUAUUAGGAGGAACAUCAGUGGCGAAGGCGGCUUACUGGGCUUUAACUGACGCUGAGGCUCGAAAGCGUGGGGAGCAAACAGGAUUAGAUACCCUGGUAGUCCACGCCGUAAACGAUGAUUACUAGGUGUGGGGGGACUGACCCCUUCCGUGCCGCAGCAAACGCAAUAAGUAAUCCACCUGGGGAGUACGACCGCAAGGUUGAAACUCAAAGGAAUUGACGGGGGCCCGCACAAGCAGUGGAGUAUGUGGAUUAAUUCGAAGCAGCGCGAAGAACCUUACCAGGUCUUGACAUCGUAUGCAUAGCUCAGAGAUGAGUGAAAUCUCUUCGGAGACAUAUAGACAGGUGGUGCAUGGUUGUCGUCAGCUCGUGUCGUGAGAUGUUGGGUUAAGUCCCGCAACGAGCGCAACCCUUACUGUUAGUUGCUACGCAAGAGCACUCUAGCAGGACUGCCGUUGACAAAACGGAGGAAGGUGGGGAUGACGUCAAAUCAUCAUGCCCCUUAUGACCUGGGCCUCACACGUACUACAAUGGCUGUCAACAGAGGGAAGCAAAGCCGCGAGGUGGAGCGAACCCCUAAAAGCAGUCUUAGUUCGGAUUGUAGGCUGCAACCCGCCUACAUGAAGUCGGAAUUGCUAGUAAUCGCAGAUCAGCAUGCUGCGGUGAAUACGUUCCCGGGCCUUGUACACACCGCCCGUCACGCCAUGGGAGUCGGUAACACACGAAGCCUGUAGUCUAACCGUAAGGAGGACGCAGUCGAAGGUGGGAUUGAUGACUGGAGUGAAGUCGUAACAAGGUA